UUGCUGUCGUUACGCACGGCCUUAUUUAAGCGCACGGAGCGGUUUCAGUCAGAUGUGGGGGGCUAAAUCAGUCCUGAUCCCCCCCUGGAAGAUAAACACAGACAGACGGACGGACGGACAGACAAAGGAAGCCGGUAGAGAAAAAACUCCCAUCAUGCCUCAGCAGGAGCCCAUCUCGUCAGGCAGGUAGUUGCGGUCCUGCAAGCUCUCCGGGCUUGUAUUUGGGUAUUUCAGGAUUGUUUUUUGAUAAAAGCGUCCACCAGUGUUCUUCCUUCCUCACCUGUUGUCCUGAGCCACGCCCAACGGGUGGAAGCGCCCCGAGUCCAGCAGCAUCCUCCCGAGCCAGUGUAAGAGCCGUGAGUACCAGUGGAUCCCGUCACUGUGGCUCCCAGCGGAUCCGGUCCAGCUGUGAAUCAGCCGGAGUGGCGAGAAGGCCCAGUGAGCCAGGGAGUGCUGCUCCACCACCGCGUAGCAGGACGCCACCACCCCGUCCACCACCAGCGUCCCCUGCUGGGUCAGUGGCGCAAACGCCCCCCUGCUCUCCCUCACACUGACCUGGGUGAUCCGAGACAGACGCCCCUCGCUGUGCUUCUGUCCCGCUUCACCCUCCGACACCAGCACGCACUGUCCCGGCUGGGCCUCGCUGGCGUACACAGUCCUGAGGGCGCCACGGGCUGGCACCGCCCCCUCUGAGCAGUUCCCCUCAGACACAAAGACCAGGUGGGCGGCAGUGAGCGAAAGGCGGGCCCCAGCUUCUGUCUGCAAGGUGUAGAAGAGCUUCCAGGUCCCGGGGUCACGGUCCAAGAAGACCAGGACUUCACUGUAGACCAGUUCCCCGCUGCCGUCGGUGCCCACCGAGGCCAGGACUCGCUCACCAGGUCGCAGGUCACUGAUGGACUUCUGACCGCCGCCCUCCAACCUGACCGAGGCCUCGCCGGGAAAACAACCUCCAGAUUUAGCCGCCACUGAGUGGUCUGAAAGACAGACAGACAGACAGACAGGGAACAGGAUGUGAUUAUUCCUGAAAUACGGAAGUUCAUUCCUGCUACUUCCUUCAUGCUCAAAAGGAAAAAAAUAAAUAAAGUUGAACUAAAAACUAUGAGACAAAUGUCAUAAUGUUGAGGUAUUAAGUCAGACACUUAUUAUCGUUGAUUAACAUUUAAAUUAGUGCAUCUAUUUUUGUUAUGGCUAACAUUUGAACAUUUUUUGUCCUGGCAGGAUCGAGCUUCCAUACAAAAGAGCUUGAGCGCACAAUAAAUGUCUUCAACUCCCUUUAGCUAAAUAUUGACUUUUUUCCUAUCUACACUGAAAAUAAAAGAAAAAAUAACGAGAUAAAA